GAUGAAGAACGCAGCGAAAUGCGAUAAGUAAUGUGAAUUGCAGAAUUCCGUGAAUCAUCGAAUCUUUGAACGCACAUUGCGCCCCCUGGUAUUCCGGGGGGGCAUGCCUGUCCGAGCGUCAUUGCAACCUUCAAGCGCGGCUUGUGUGUUGGGUCUCGUCCCCCGUGGACGGGCCCGAAAGGCAGUGGCGGCGUCCCGACAUGGUGCCCGAGCGUAUGGGAAUCCUCUUCCGCUCGAAUCGGCCCAUGCGGCGCUGGUCGUAACCAAAUUUUUUACCGGUUGACCUCGGAUCAGGUAGGGAUACCCGCUGAACUUAAGCAUAUCAAUAAGCGGAGGA
rnacentral:misc_RNA from 1 species